rnacentral:tRNA from 1 species
GGAUAGGUGCCCGGAGUGGUUUAUCGGGGGCCGGGGCUUCGGCUCCGGUCGGGUCUUUGUGGCCUUCGCAGGUUCGAAUCCUGCCCUCUCCG